UACGUAGGUGGCAAGCGUUAUCCGGAUUUAUUGGGCGUAAAGAGAACGCAGGCGGUCUUUUAAGUCUGAUGUGAAAGCCUUCGGCUUAACCGGAGUAGUGCAUUGGAAACUGGGAGACUUGAGUGCAGAAGAGGAGAGUAGAACUCCAUGUGUAGCGGUGAAAUGCGUAGAUAUAUGGAAGAACACCAGUGGCGAAAGCGGCUCUCUGGUCUGUAACUGACGCUGAGGUUCGAAAGCGUGGGUAGCAAACAGG
rnacentral:rRNA from 1 species